AACACGCAGCGUUCCACGUGAAUGCAUUAGUCUGGGCGCACUCCGCAGUUGAAGACGUCUGCAGUUGCUAACCUUCGCCGUUUCUGUUAUUUGCUGAAAUCGUUGGAAAUACCACGUUCACAGACUGAAGCCAGCAUGGAAUGUUGCAGACGAUGUUGUGGGCGAGCCUGCCCAUGUCGAGCCGCCUACAUCACCUCAUGAGGUUUUCGCUGAUCCGACGUCUCACCGCCAGAUGCCUGCUUGGCACUGGCUUCAACUCCAGCCUACCCAAGUCCGACUCCUGAUGGUGAGGGUUCUCCUUCCUCACCACUCACCCACUUUUCCCCCCUCCCCUCCUAACUCUUUCACCUUCCAAACAGAUGUGUCCUGUUUUGCUCCAGAUGACAUCUCUCUACAGGUACAUGACAAUUUCAUUUUCAUCCUUCACGCUCCUCCCUACUCAGCUGAUCACCCUCCCAACUCUUCCAUUUCUAUCAUCAAACAUCUCCAACUUCCCCCAGGUGCAGAGAUCAAUACGACCUCUUCUUUCAUUGAUGGUACAGGCCUCGUAACUAUCACCAUCCCACUCACUCCUUUCCCCCUGACCACUUCUGAUGAUCCACCUUGCUCACGCGUUGGCUGCUUAUUAUGCUUACCUGACUGGCAUAAGGACUAUGGCAUUCCUUCCCCUCCCUCCCUCACCCAUCAGCUCCAACUCGCACAUGCCCUGCCUACAGACCCAGAUGUACUUAUUGCUCCUGGAUCUUCAUCUGUGUGCAGUGUCCCUGAUGCCUCCCCCCCAGCAUAAUGCCAUAAGUGCUCUGCACUGCUGGGGGGGCUCUGUGGCGGCAUGCAAUCGGUCAAGUGACCUAUCUUUGGACUGCCAUCUUUAAGGUUUGGAACAGAUAGUGCGUGGAUCUUCAGUUCAUUGUGAAACUGUGUGUUUAUGUAUAGCGAUAUCAAGCUCAUCAUUAAAGUGCUUAUCUCUAUAUGUGGAA